UACAGAGGUCUCAAGCGUUGUUCGGAUUCAUUGGGCGUAAAGGGUGUGUAGGUGGCGCGCUAAGUCGGGUGUGAAAUUUCGGAGCUUAACUCCGAAACUGCAUUCGAUACUGGCGUGCUUGAGGACUGGAGAGGAGACUGGAAUUCAUGGUGUAGCAGUGAAAUGCGUAGAGAUCACGAGGAAGACCAGUGGCGAAGGCGGGUCUCUGGACAGUUCCUGACACUGAGACACGAAGGCCAGGGGAGCAAACAGG
rnacentral:rRNA from 1 species